UAGCCUAAAGUAAAACUAUUUAAGGUAACUCCUGCCCAGUGAGCAACUGCUUAAACGGCCGCGGUAUCCUAACCGUGCAAAGGUAGCAUAAUAACUUGCCUAUUAAUUGUAGGAUGGAAUGAACGGAAGCACGAAAUAAUUACUGUCUCAAUUAGCCAAAUGAAAAUUACUACCUAGUUGAAGAAUACUAGAUAAAACUGAAGGACAAGAAGACCCUAUAGAGCUUUAUUUACCAAGUUCACAAAGAAUUAUAAAAUUCGGUUGGGGCGACCAAUGUUAUAACCAUCACCAAAAAACCAAAGACCAAUAAGUCACCACAAAGACCCCAAUAAGAUCAAAAAAACAAGUUACCUUAGGGAUAACAGGCUAAUUUCACUAAAGAGUUCUUAUCUAUAGUGUUAGUUGGCACCUCGAUGUUGGCUUAGGGAAAUCUGGACGGCGCAGAAUCUGCCCCAGAAGGUUUGUUCAACCAUUAAACCCCUA
rnacentral:rRNA from 1 species